rnacentral:lncRNA from 1 species
GCCAAACAUCUUCAAGUUCAUAAUAUCUAUUGCUUCUUUGUGUUUCUGAUGUGUUUGCAUCACUUCUUUAACCUCUAGCACAACUAGAAACACCAGAAGGCUCAGGAAAAAGCUUUUGUCUUGUAGGGCAUCUUGGAUUUUUCCAUAAUCUCUUCUUUCAUCUGUAAUAGAAACUCUUGAAAUACAAGAACAUUUUUUUCCUUCCAUAACAAUUUUUGUCUCUUCAAUUCCACAAGGUUUUUCACUUGCGUUGUGCAGGGUCUUUUGUGUGAAGAGCUCUUUUGCUAGACAGGGAAAACCAAAGUACAGUUUCUUUUCAGCAUGAGGUGACUAUUUCAGAUUGAAAUUCAGAGGAGACAGAUCUGCAAAGAACACAAGACCAAGUUUUAAGCUUCCAUGGGAAGUUCUACAAUGUACAAAAGAUACUGCAAAUCUUUCAGAGGUCAAAUUGCUUCUAAGAGAGAAACAAAGCAAGCAGGGCUACGCUGUUCACUUCCAUCAGGAAUACUUCUGGAAGACUGGCAAAUGGGAAGUGGAGAUGACCACACUGUCAGCUCUGCUGUAAGAGUUACCAGUGAUAUGACACUGUCCAGAUGUUCUUGUGGUGCAAGUGCUUUUCUACAGUCACAUUUCAGGAUGGACCUUCACUUUGGGAACCUGUAAGCAUUCUAGCAGAUAUUUCCAUUAUUGCAAUGGCUAACAUAUAAUCAAAAUUAGGAAAAUUUUCUCAGUAACUUUCCUAAAUUCAAAAUCCUGAAAUUCUCAUUCUGAAAUAUGUUUAAAGUCUUAGGGGAAGGCUGCAUGGAAAACUGGCAUUUUCCCUUGGAGAAAAGCUCAAAAUGUAAAGAAAUCCAAUGUAAGUAACACAGUGCAAUCAAGAAAAAAUAUCUCAGGAUUAAAAUGUUUGUGCUUGAUACUUUUCUGGUGGUGUCUGGAUAAGUUGAAUGUUAUUUCUAACAUGCAGAAGAUAGCUUAGCACAUAGGUGACAAUAUAUCUUUUUUCCCUUUUCCUUUCCCUUUUCCUUUCUCUUUCCUUUUUUCUUAUUUUUGUUUUAUUUCCAACUUUCUUUUCUCCCCCUCUUCCCUUUGGGAAGGGGAGUGAGUGAGCAGAUGUGGUGGAGUUCAGCUGCCCAGCAGGGUGACCUCAUAAUAAAAAGCUGAUUUUUAAUGAUUUUUUUUUUUUU